GAUGAACGCUGGCGGCGUGCCUAAUACAUGCCAGUCGAGCGAACGGACGAGAAGCUUGCUUCUCUGAUGUUAGCGGCGGACGGGAGCGUCACACGUGGAUAACCUACCUAUCCGACUGGGAUACCUUCGCGAGACCGGAGCUACUACCGGAUAAUAUUUUGAACCGCAUGGUUCAAAAGUGAAAGACGGUCUUGCUGUCACUUAUAGAUGGAUCCGCGCUGCAUUAGCUAGUUGGUAGGGUAACGGCUUACCAAAGCAACGAUGCAUAGCCGACCUGAGAGCGUGGUUGGCCAGACUGGAAGUGAGACAGGGUCCAGACUCCGACGGGAGGCAGCAGUAGGGAAUCUUCCGCGAUGGAGGAAAGGCUGACGGAGGAACGCCGCGUGAGGGAUGAAGGACUUAGGAUCGGAAAGCUCUGUUAGUAGGAAAGAACAAAUGUGUAAUUAACUGUGCACAUCUUGACGGUACCGAAUCAGAAAGCCACGGCUAACUACGUG
rnacentral:rRNA from 1 species